GCCUAGUGAUGAUUAGUUUAAGGCUUGUUUCUCAAACAUUCGCAGUUGCCUCCUAAGACCUUUUGCCCAGCUAGGCUUGAGAGCUAAUGCUGUUAGAUCCUUCUUUGGAUGUCUGAGGGC
rfam:Triticum aestivum genome assembly, contig: Triticum_aestivum_CS42_TGACv1_scaffold_473365_6AL